rnacentral:rRNA from 1 species
CCUACGGGGGGCUGCAGUGGGGAAUAUUGGACAAUGGGGGCAACCCUGAUCCAGCCAUGCCGCGUGUGUGAAGAAGGCCCUCGGGUUGUAAAGCACUUUCAGUGAGGAAGAACGCCUGGUGGUUAAUACCCAUCAGGAAAGACAUCACUCACAGAAGAAGCAACGGCUAACUCCGUGCCAGCAGCCGCGGUAAUACGGAGGGUGCGAGCGUUAAUCGGAAUUACUGGGCGUAAAGCGCGCGUAGGUGGCUUGAUAAGCCGGUUGUGAAAGCCCCGGGCUCAACCUGGGAACGGCAUCCGGAACUGUCAAGCUAGAGUGCAGGAGAGGAAGGUAGAAUUCCCGGUGUAGCGGUGAAAUGCGUAGAGAUCGGGAGGAAUACCAGUGGCGAAGGCGGCCUUCUGGACUGACACUGACACUGAGGUGCGAAAGCGUGGGUAGCAAACAGGAUUAGAUACCCCUGUAGUC